UAUUGAUCGGGCUCGUCAUUAGCGCCGUCGGAGUCAAAGCUCUUUGUUUUACUUCGUCUGGAAAACGACUGGCGGAGAAGUGUUUUGAACUCGUCAAGUAUCAACGUUACUGGCUCCAUAUCCGUUGAUCCAGCUUCGUGUUUACUUGUAUUCCGCUAAUGUUCCACCCAUUGGGAGAGGCCAAUCUGCGAAUCGCGUGAAAGGCGUGCCAACCCGAAAUUCGGCUAUAACUAUAAUUGGCACGAAAAGGAAAACUAAACGCCGUGUGUGGAAGCGGGACGAAAGAAAAUGAA